rnacentral:rRNA from 1 species
UGUUUAACAAAAACAUGGCCUUUUGAUUAAAAUUUAAGGUCUGGCCUGCUCACUGACUUGUUUUGAAGAGCCGCGGUAUUUUGACCGUGCAAAGGUAGCAUAAUCAUUAGUCUCUUAAUUAGAGGCUGGAAUGAAUGGUUUGACGAGGAAUUGACUGUCUCUAUUUAAUAUCUAGAAUUUAACUUUUGAGUUAAAAGGCUUAAAUUUUUCUUUAGGACGAGAAGACCCUAUAGAGCUUAAUAUAUAAUUUUUAUAUAUUUUUUAGGUUGUUUUCUUAUAUUUAAUUUAAUAUAUUCUGUUGGGGUGACAUGAAGGAUAAUUAAACCCUUCAUUAUUAAAUCAUUAAUUUAUGUUAUUUUGAUCCAUAAUUUAUGAUCAUAAGAUUAAGUUACCUUAGGGAUAACAGCGUAAUUGUUUUAGAGAGCUCAAAUCGACAAAGCAGAUUGCGACCUCGAUGUUGGAUUAAGAAAAAUGCUAGGUGCAGUAGCUUAGUAAUUAGUCUGUUCGCCUUAU